GCUUCAUUUCAUGUUGCUUCAGAAAAUAAGCAUCGCAAGGAUGCUCUUCUUGACUUCUGGAAUAUAUCACGGCUGGUCCGUUUUGGGAACGUUCCUUCUGUUCCUCAAAUCAGGAGUCUCUCAAAGUGAUUCUGUCUUCCAAUCGCCAAAUCAAAUGGAAACCCAAGAGGGGCAGCCCGUAAUUUUGCGCUGCAAUUUCUCCACUUCCAGUUCAGCUCCUUACCUUUUCUGGUAUCGUCAAUAUGCGGACAGAGAACCUGAGCUGAUCCUUCAGGCUUACAAAAGUAAAGAGCAGAAGAACAGAGUUUGUAAAGCGUUCUCACACUGUGCAAAGACAGGCACUUAUGAGAAGAUGGCAUUUGGCUGGGGGACCAGGUUAACAGUGCAACCGGGUAUGUUGAGAAAUUUCAGAUUCCAGAAAUAA